GACGAACGCUGGCGGCGUGCCUAAUACAUGCAAGUUGAGCGCUGAAGGUUGGUACUUGUACCAACUGGAUGAGCAGCGAACGGGUGAGUAACGCGUGGGGAAUCUGCCUUUGAGCGGGGGACAACAUUUGGAAACGAAUGCUAAUACCGCAUAAAAACUUUAAACACAAGUUUUAAGUUUGAAAGAUGCAAUUGCAUCACUCAAAGAUGAUCCCGCGUUGUAUUAGCUAGUUGGUGAGGUAAAGGCUCACCAAGGCGAUGAUACAUAGCCGACCUGAGAGGGAGAGCGGCCGCAAUGGGACAGUCACACGGACUAGACGCCAUCGGGAGCGAGCAGUAGGGAGUAUGUGGAGAUGGACGACAGUUUGACAGAGUAACGCGGCGUGAGAGAAGAUGGUUUUGGGAUAAUAAAACUCUGUUGGUAGAGAAGAACGUUGGUGAGGGUGGAAAGCUCAUCAAGUGACGGUAACGACCCAGAAAGAAAGGACUCGCUACGUG
rnacentral:rRNA from 1 species